GCCCUCGUCGCGUUGUGAAACUUUGAAAACAUGCGUGAAAUUAAACAUUAAUUUUACUCGGCCGCAUACGACUACCUAUAGUACAAAUAAACCAAUAUUAAUAAUUGUUUAGCCAAAAACAACAGAUAAUUACAAAUAAUCUUAGUUCAUAAAUGCAUCCCUAAUCAACAAAACAGUCAUCACCAAAACAUCAAUGUCAUUUGCAGUAUUUAACAGUUUAUAUACUCUAUUUAACAAGUUUAAAAACAAUCUCAAAACAAGUUAAUCAAUUUCAAACAACCCCAAACAGGUCUGCAAAUAAUUAUCUUACAGCUUGGAUGAACAAAUGUCUGGCCAAGCCAAAAAUUGGUCGAACAUUUGUCAAUUUUUCCCGGACAAUGGACGAAGUAAAAUAUUGUAUUUUGGAUAUUUAUAGCACGAUGUUGUUUUUUUUUGUUAGUCCGUACUGCAAUUCAUCUAAUCAAUCAAUCAA
rnacentral:lncRNA from 1 species